UGAAUACGAGACGCUAAGGCGUUGAAGUAGUGUAUGUCAUACUUCCAAGAAAAGCUUGCACUGUCAUAGAUAAAAAACGCCUGUACCAUAACCGACACAGGUGGGUAGGUAGAGUAUACUAAGGGGCGCGAGAUAACUCUCUCUAAGGAACUCGGCAAAAUAACUCCGUAACUUCGGGAGAAGGAGUGCCUUAUUUAUAAGGCUGCAAUAACAAGAUCCAAGCAACUGUUUAUCAAAAACACAGGUCUCCGCUAAGUCGUAAGACGAUGUAUGGGGGCUGACGCCUGCCCAGUGCCAGAAGGUUAAAGAAGUUGGUUAGCAAUAGCGAAGCUGAUAACUGAAGCCCUGGUGAACGGCGGCCGUAACUAUAACGGUCCUAAGGUAGCGAAAUUCCUUGUCGGGUGAGUUCCGACCCGCACGAAAGGCGUAAUGAUUUGGAUACUGUCUCGGAGAGGGGCUCGGUGAAAUAGACUUGUCUGUGAAGAUGCGGACUACCUGCACCAGGACAGAAAGACCCUAUGAAGCUUUACUGUAACUUGAAAUUGAAAUUGGACUUUAUUCGCGCAGUAUAGGUGGGAGGCGUUGAUUGUAAUCUUGCGGGAUUAUUGGAGCCAUCAGUGAGAUACCACCCUUGUAAUGUUAGAUUUCUAACUUUGAAUCAUUAUCUGGUCAAAGAACAGUUUCAGGCGGGCAGUUUGACUGGGGCGGUCGCCUCCUAAACGGUAACGGAGGCGUACAAAGGUUUCCUCUGAACGGUUAGAAAUCGUAUCUAGAGUGUAAAGGCAUAAGGAAGCUUGACUGUGAGACCUACAAGUCGAGCAGGGACGAAAGUCGGUCUUAGUGAUCUGACGGUACUGAGUGGAAAGGCCGUCACUCAACGGAUAAAAGUUACUCUAGGAUAACAGGCUGAUCUCCCCCAAGAGUUCACAUCGACGGGGAGGUUUGGCACCUCGAUGUCGGCUCAUCGCAUCCUGGGGCGGUAGUACGUCCCAAGGGUUGGGCUGUUCGCCCAUGAAAGCGGUACGCGAGCUGGGUUCAGAACGUCGUGAGACAGUUCGGUCCAUAUCCGGUGUAGGCGUUAGAAUAUUGAGAGGAGCCUUCUUUAGUACGAGAGGACCGAGAAGGACAUACCUCUGGUGUACCAGUUAUCGUGCCAACGGUAAACGCUGGGUAGCUAUGUAUGGAGUGGAUAACCGCUGAAAGCAUCUAAGUGGGAAGCCCACCUCAAGAUAAGUAUUCUCACCAA
rnacentral:rRNA from 1 species